CCAGUGGAGAAUGUGAUCAUAGAGAAUAUCACCACCAAUUCUGUUCUCCUUAUCUGGCUAACACCCGGAGGGAACAGAAGUUCAUAUGAAUUAGAAGUUUUAGGCAAUUCAUCAUCCGUUGUGAGCCUUGAUUCUCUUGAUACAUCUUACCUUAUGGACCUGUUAAUACCUGGGAACUUUUACACAUUCAAUAUCUAUGCUAAAGCUGGAAACGGUUUAACUGGGGGCAUUGCAGAAAACUAUACAUUCACAGGUAAAUAUAGAAUAGCAUGUUGAUAUCUCAUUAUAAAAAUUGAAAAGCAAAAUGAUAGCUAAAUAAUUAACUCUCAGAAGAUUAAAAUAAACUACAUGUAAGUUGAAAUGUACAUUAAUUUGGUAAAUAUACACUAAUGAGUUUAAAGUGACAGCAGAGUGAAUUAGUUAGAUUUGACCAUGCAUUGACUAUACUAAUUUGACAAUGUCAGAUUUUAAAGCAACUGUGGUACAUCCGGUUUUUACCAUUGAUAAAUCCAGGUCAAGUUUCUUGAAGGCAAAAUCUUUUGCCAUUUGCCUAGACAGUGUUGCAAUGGGUUAUGAGCUACAAUGCAAUGUUUCUGUUGGUAACUAUUACUUGCAAUGAAGGUGUUCAGUGUUUCUAUAAUAUUUGAAGCAUUGUUGUCUUGUGUGUAUUUCAUAAAUAUAUAUAUGGUCAAAGACAAAACUAAUAUGUUGAUAUCUUUUGUCUAUGUCAUAUUUCAUUGCAAAUUAUUUCUACAUUCUAGUUCCUGCUGCAGUAGAGAAUUUGAUCAUAGAGAAUAUCACAACUAAUUCUGUUCUCCUGAUCUGGCAAACACCUGAAGGGAACAGAAGUUCAUAUGUAUUAGAAGUUUUGGGCAAUUCAUCAUCUGUUGUAAGCCUUAAUUCUAAUGAUACAUCUUACUUUGUGGACCAGUUAAUACCUGGGAACUUUUACACAUUCAAAAUCUAUGCGAAAUCUGGAAAUGGUUUGACUGGGGGCAUCACAGAAAACUAUAC